GUGCAGCUCCGGGCCUGACUGUUUUCUGAACAGUAUUGUGUUCUAGCAUCUUCCUUGAAGACACGUCAUGGUGGGCAGAAAAGGGUCAAAAAAUACAAGCGCCUACAUCAUGGAUGAAAAAAGUCAUGGAUAUUGGACAAGCUGGCACAACGCGCAUCCCAAGGACCAUGAAACUAAUGCUUUGGUUCAUGAGCCAGUCCUCAGCGCCUCUUGAUUUUUGGCUUCACUCUGGAUUCUGGAUUCAUCUUUGUUUGACACAUGUACGUGGAAACCCUCUUUCUUGUGUCCAUGGUGGAUGUUUUGUUGUUUUUUCUUUUCGUUACUGCUUGGAGCUGAAAAAGGAUAAAUCAGUUGUUGUUGUUCAUGAUAUGGUCAAGAUCUGGUUCGUGAAACUCUCAAGAAAAAAGGGUUCAUGUUUCA